GGGAGGCAGCAGUAGGGAAUCUUCCGCAAUGGGCGAAAGCCUGACGGAGCAACGCCGCGUGAGUGAAGAAGGUCUUCGGAUCGUAAAACUCUGUUAUUAGGGAAGAACAAAUGUGUAAGUAACUAUGCACGUCUUGACGGUACCUAAUCAGAAAGCCACGGCUAACUACGUGCCAGCAGCCGCGGUAAUACGUAGGUGGCAAGCGUUAUCCGGAAUUAUUGGGCGUAAAGCGCGCGUAGGCGGUUUUUUAAGUCUGAUGUGAAAGCCCACGGCUCAACCGUGGAGGGUCAUUGGAAACUGGAAAACUUGAGUGCAGAAGAGGAAAGUGGAAUUCCAUGUGUAGCGGUGAAAUGCGCAGAGAUAUGGAGGAACACCAGUGGCGAAGGCGACUUUCUGGUCUGUAACUGACGCUGAUGUGCGAAAGCGUGGGGAUCAAACAGGGAUUAGAUACCCUGGGUAGUCCACGCCGUAAACGAUGAGUGCUAAGUGGUUAGGGGGGUUUCCGCCCCUUAGUGCUGCAGCUAACGCAUUAAGCACUCCGCCCGGGGGAGUACGACCGCAAGGGUUGAAACUCAAAGGAAUUGACGGGGACCCGCACAAGCGGUGGAACCAUGGUGGUUUAAUUCGAA
rnacentral:rRNA from 1 species